CAGGGUCCCCUAGACAUGAGCCAGGACACCCUCCCCUCUCCAUGCCUUGAAUUUGUUUUCCUCCUUGACCCAUGUCACUGUGUGAACACUGAAGUUUUCUUUGGAGAAGGCACCAGGCUUGCAGUUGUAGAGGACCUGAAAAAGGUGACCCCACCCAAGGUGGCUGUGUUUGAACCCUCGGAAGCAGAGAUCUCCCGCACCCAGAAAGCCACGCUCGUGUGCCUGGCCACAGGCUUCUACCCCGACCACGUGGAGCUGAGCUGGUGGGUGAACGGGAAGGAGGUGCAGAGCGGGGUCAGCACGGACCCCCAGCCCUACAAGGAGCAGCCCGGCCUCAACGACUCCACCUACUGCCUGAGCAGCCGCCUGAGGGUAUCGGCCACCUUCUGGCACAAUCCCCGCAACCGCUUCCGCUGCCAAGUCCGGUUCUACGGGCUCACAGAGGAAGACGAGUGGACCCAGGAUACACCCAAACCCAUCACCCAGAAUAUCAUUGCUGAGGCCUGGGGCAGAGCAGACUGUGGCUUCACCUCGGUGUCCUACCAGCAAGGGGUCCUGUCUGCCACUGUCCUCUAUGAGAUCCUGCUGGGGAAGGCCACCGUGUAUGCUGUGCUGGUCAGCGCCCUCGUGCUGAUGGCCAUGGUCAAGAGAAAGGAUUCCUGAAGCCAGCUCUGGAGGUGGAGCCAGAAGUUUCCCACCCGUUACAGAGUCAGUACGCAUUUUCCUUCUGCCAGUGCUUCUGAAUGCUGCUCUCACCUCUACGUAUCCCAAUGUCUGCCCCCUGUGCUUGCGUGCCUGCACGCUCCUGGCUGAAGUCUCCCCAACCCAGAGAGGCCCCUAGUGUGACUCAGUGACUGAACCAAUAAAAACGUCCUGGUCUGGCCUGA